rfam:Desulfosporosinus sp. I2 contig00204, whole genome shotgun sequence.
UGAAUAUUGGAAAAUAAAGGUGCAAGUACUAAGAGUACAGCUUAAAAGGGAAGCAGGUAAAAGUCCUGCACGGUCCCGCCACUGUAAUGGGGAGAUGUUUCAUACUAGAGGCCACUGGCUCAUACCGGGAAGGCGUGAAGCAUUCAUGAACCAAAGUCAGAAGACCUGCCUUUAUUAAUGAACCAAU